rnacentral:misc_RNA from 1 species
GAUGAAGAACGUAGCGAAAUGCGAUAAGUAAUGUGAAUUGCAGAAUUCAGUGAAUCAUCGAAUCUUUGAACGCACAUUGCGCCCCCUGGUAUUCCGGGGGGCAUGCCUGUUCGAGCGUCAUUUCACCACUCAAGCCUCGCUUGGUAUUGGGCAACGCGGUCCGCCGCGUGCCUCAAAUCGUCCGGCUGGGUCUUCUGUCCCCUAAGCGUUGUGGAAACUAUUCGCUAAAGGGUGUUCGGGAGGCUACGCCGUAAAACAACCCCAUUUCUAAGGUUGACCUCGGAUCAGGUAGGGAUACCCGCUGAACUUAAGCAUAUCAAUAAGCGGAGA